CCCAAUCUCUAAUUACCAUACCUACACUACCGUUUUUUCCAUUAAUCACAGCCGCAUCAACAUUCAUCUUGUACUAUCUAGGGGGGAGGCACGAUCCAAGUGCUAGAGCUCAAACUCCCAGGAGGCGUCUUCUGCAUCGCUGUCGUAGAGUGUACGGGAUGGAUUGUGUCUUUGAGCGCUUUCUGAGUUUUUUGGAGAAGAUCUUCCAGUGCCAUUUGAACAUUCUCAAAGACAAGUUUGUUCCUCCCUUGCCAAAUACUAUGGAGCGCACACACAAAAAAAAAAUCACUCAUUUCCUCCCCAAUUUUGACCAACAUGGAACGAAUCCAAUCUUGGAGAAGAAUUUCAGUCGCCGCUUCUGUCCUUAGCGUGAGGGGCGAGAUAAACCAGAGCCUUUGUACCCACUCAUAGUCUCUUAAAAGGUGAGUAUCUUAUUCCUCCUUUUUCCAACAUCUAGGGCAAAUUCCUGAGCAUCUAAUUCCUCUCCUCUGCAAAUUCUUUUUCUAGAAUUGUUGUUCUGUUUGGAUUAAUGCACUGUUGUUCUCUGGUCCCUUGUUGUGGCUUCUAAUAAGAUGGCUUUGAUCAGCACUUGGCGCAAACACACGAUUAGGUACAAUCGGAUCUGGUUCACGACAGUGUACACGGACUUUCUAUCACUACCCUCCACAUUUCUGUUAGGUGUCGUGCCCUAGCAGAGUAAUAGAGAGAGGAACUAUGCUGUUAGAUUAUUAGACUAAAGAAAUUAGACUAAGAAAUUAAGUUGAUGGUUAAGUGAUGACCAAAAAUAAUAAAUUCUGAUAGUUUCUUAGUAUUCCUCAUAUAUAAAUAUAC